rnacentral:rRNA from 1 species
GACGAACGCUGGCGGCGUGCCUAAUACAUGCAAGUCGAACGAGAGCGACCGGUGCUUGCACUGGUCAAUCUAGUGGCGAACGGGUGAGUAACACGUGGGUAACCUGCCCAUCAGAGGGGGAUAACAUCCGGAAACGGAUGCUAAAACCGCAUAGGUCUUCGAACCGCAUGGUUUGAAGAGGAAAAGAGGCGCAAGCUUCUGCUGAUGGAUGGACCCGCGGUGCAUUAGCUAGUUGGUGAGGUAACGGCUCACCAAGGCCGUGAUGCAUAGCCGACCUGAGAGGGUGAUCGGCCACAUUGGGACUGAGACACGGCCCAAACUCCUACGGGAGGCAGCAGUAGGGAAUCUUCCGCAAAGGACGCAAGUCUGACGGAGCAACGCCGCGUGAGUGAAGAAGGUUUUCGGAUCGUAAAACUCUGCUGUUAGAGAAGAACAAGUGCUAGAGUAACUGUUAGCGCCUUGACGGUAUCUAACCAGAAAGCCACGGCUAACUACGUG